GAUACAGUAUGUUCAUUAAGGCAGGGUAAAGUGACUAGGCAUAAGGAUAGAUAAUGUAUUUGAGGUUGAUACAGUAUGUUCAUUAAGGCAGGGUAAAGUGACUAGGCAUAAGGAUAGAUAAUGUAUUUGAGGUUGAUACAGUAUGUUCAUUAAGGCAGGGUAAAGUGACUAGGCAUAAGGAUAGAUAAUAAUAAUGUAUUUGAGGUUGAUACAGUAUGUUCAUUAAGGCAGGGUAAAGUGACUAGGCAUAAGGAUAGAUAAUGUAUUUGAGGUUGAUACAGUAUGUUCAUUAAGGCAGGGUAAAGUGACUAGGCAUAAGGAUAGAUAAUAAUAAUGUAUUUGAGGUUGAUACAGUAUGUUCAUUAAGGCAGGGUAAAGUGACUAGGCAUAAGGAUAGAUAAUAAUAAUGUAUUUGAGGUUGAUACAGUAUGUUCAUUAAGGCAGGGUAAAGUGACUAGGCAUAAGGAUAGAUAAUGUAUUUGAGGUUGAUACAGUAUGUUCAUUAAGGCAGGGUAAAGUGACUAGGCAUAAGGAUAGAUAAUAAUAAUGUAUUUGAGGUUGAUACAGUAUGUUCAUUAAGGCAGGGUAAAGUGACUAGGCAUAAGGAUAGAUAAUAAUAAUGUAUUUGAGGUUGAUACAGUAUGUUCAUUAAGGCAGGGUAAAGUGACUAGGCAUAAGGAUAGAUAAUGUAUUUGAGGUUGAUACAGUAUGUUCAUUAAGGCAGGGUAAAGUGACUAGGCAUAAGGAUAGAUAAUGUAUUUGAGGUUGAUACAGUAUGUUCAUUAAGGCAGGGUAAAGUGACUAGGCAUAAGGAUAGAUAAUGUAUUUGAGGUUGAUACAGUAUGUUCAUUAAGGCAGGGUAAAGUGACUAGGCAUAAGGAUAGAUAAUGUAUUUGAGGUUGAUACAGUAUGUUCAUUAAGGCAGGGUAAAGUGACUAGGCAUAAGGAUAGAUAAUGUAUUUGAGGUUGAUACAGUAUGUUCAUUAAGGCAGGG